rnacentral:rRNA from 1 species
UACGUAGGGACCGAGCGUUGUCCGGAAUCAUUGGGCGUAAAGAGCGUGUAGGCGGCUUGUUAAGUCUUGCGUGAAAUCUCGGGGCUCAACCCCGAGCGGUCGUGAGAAACUGGCAGGCUAGAGUGCGGGAGAGGAGAGUGGAAUUCCUGGUGUAGCGGUGAAAUGCGCAGAUAUCAGGAGGAACACCGAUGGCGAAGGCAGCUCGCUGGGACGGUACUGACGCUGAGGCGCGAAAGCGUGGGGAGCAAACAGG